rnacentral:rRNA from 64 species
CAUAACGACUCUCGGCAACGGAUAUCUCGGCUCUCGCAUCGAUGAAGAACGUAGCAAAAUGCGAUACGUGGUGUGAAUUGCAGGAUCCCGUGAACCAUCGAGUUUUUGAACGCAAGUUGCGCCCGAAGCCUUUAGGCCGAGGGCACGUCUGCCUGGGCGUCACGC